UGCCCAGCAACUCCUAUCCCUACCUCCUCGCGGUUUUGGCCGGGGUACGAGUAACCUUAGGGAAGAUCGGGUAACCAACCCCCUGUGGGAACUUUGGUCGUAUGCUGACAGGGAAGG
rnacentral:ribozyme from 1 species